rnacentral:rRNA from 1 species
GGCUUUUUCGUGAUUUGGGCUAUAUUACGGACCCAAAAUUACUUGUUCAAGCAUUGUUUCCGAAUUUUUUCACGCAUCAAAGCUCGUUAAGACUAGAUGGGGUAUCCCUACAUAGCGGGUGGGACCCACGGCGAAUGGUUCAUCAUGUCUUCAAAAAAGAAUAUAUACGAUUGCAUUGCAUAUACUAACGGAUGCGAUCAUACCAGCACUAAUGCACCGGAUCUCAUCAGAACUCCGCAGUCAAGCGUGCUUGGGCGAGAGUAGUACUAGGAUGGGUGACCUCCCGGGAAGUCCUCGUGUUGCAUCCCUCUUUUAUGUUUAACCUUUUUUUUUUUGGUUAAAACUUUAUGA